UACAGGGGGUGCAAACGUUGCUCGGAAUUAUUGGGCGUAAAGCGCGCGUAGGCGGCCACUUAAGUCGGAUGUGAAAGCCCCUGGCUCAACUGGGGAAGUGCACCCGAAACUGAAUGGCUUGAAUGCAAAAGAGGGUCGCGGAAUUCCUGGUGUAGCGGUGAAAUGCGCAGAUAUCAGGAAGAACACCGAUGGCGAAGGCAGCUCUCUGGGACGGUACUGACGCUGAGACGCGAAAGCGUGGGGAGCGAACAGG
rnacentral:rRNA from 1 species